rnacentral:rRNA from 1 species
GAUGAACGCUGGCGGCGUGCCUAAUACAUGCAAGUCGAGCGAAAAGACGAGGAGCUUGCUCCUCUGACGUUAGCGGCGGACGGGUGAGUAACACGUGGAUAACCUACCUAUAAGACUGGGAUAACUUCGGGAAACCGGCGCUAAUACCGGAUAAUAUAUUGCACCGCAUGGUUCAAUAGUGAAAGACGGUUUUGCUGGCACUUAUAGAUGGAUCCGCGCCGCAUUAGCUAGUUGGUAAGGUAACGGCUUAUCAAGGGAACGAUGCGUAGCCGACCGGAGGGGGGGAUCGGCCACACUGGAAGGUAGACACGGUCCAGACGCCUACGGGAGGCAGCAGUAGGGAAUCGGCCGCAAUGGGCGAAAGCUUGACGGAGCAACGCCGCGUGAGUUAUGAAGGUCUUCGGAGCGGAAAACUGUGUUAUGAGGUAAGAACAAAUUUGUAAGGAACUAUGCACUUCGUGACGGUACCUAAUCAGAAAGCCACGGCUAACUACGUG